AACACAGCAUGCUGCAGAUGUGCGCUUUGUGAGAGGCUGGAUUAGAUCAUCGCCAUGGAAAGGAAAUACUGUGUCUCCUGGAGGCAAAACCAGCAAAUCCAGGGGGAUUGAUGGAAUGCUAGAUACCUCAUGAGAAUUCUGCAUUGUCAGAGCAUUUAUACCGAAUAUUUUAUAGAUACAUGUCCAGUUGGUUCCCCUGUUGAGGUUCUGAGUCCCUGGCUGUUACUGGUGUGUUGGAAAGCAAUGACUCCUCAGAUGUUCCUGUAUACCUUUAUCUGUCUGCCUCCAAUUACUUUAUGAGCUCAUGAAAAUGAACACAAGGCAUCUUUGACAUUCCUCUCUCUCAUUUCCUCUCCUAUUUUUUACAUGGGGCACUUUUGCCAAUAACUCUUUCCUAGUAAAACAAUGCCUCUGAAUUCAUGCUGUGUGUGUAUGUGAUUCCAUGUACCCUCCCUCCCCACCUCCCCAAAUGUUUGAGCCUG